rnacentral:rRNA from 1 species
GAUGAACGCUAGCUACAGGCUUAACACAUGCAAGUCGAGGGGAAACGGCAUCGAAAGCUUGCUUUUGAUGGGCGUCGACCGGCGCACGGGUGAGUAACGCGUAUCCAACCUGCCCAUCACUUGGGAAUAACCUUGCGAAAGUAAGACUAAUGCCCAAUGACAUCCCACGAAGGCAUCCGAAUGGGAUUAAAGAUUUAUCGGUGAUGGAUGGGGAUGCGUCUGAUUAGCUUGUUGGCGGGGUGACGGCCCACCAAGGCAACGAUCAGUAGGGGUUCUGAGAGGAAGGUCCCCCACAUUGGAACUGAGACACGGUCCAAACUCCUACGGGAGGCAGCAGCGAGGAAUAUUGGUCAAUGGGCGAGAGCCUGAACCAGCCAAGUAGCGUGCAGGAUGGCGGCCCUAUGGGUUGUAAACUGCUUUUAUAAGGGAAUAAAGUGGGUCACGUGUGACUUUUUGCAUGUACCUUAUGAAUAAGGACCGGCUAAUUCCGUG